rnacentral:rRNA from 1 species
ACGAAGGCAGCAGUGGGGGAUAUUGCACAAUGGGGGAAACCCUGAUGCAGCGACGCCGCGUGAGUGAAGAAGUAUUUCGGUAUGUAAAGCUCUAUCAGCAGGGAAGAUAAUGACGGUACCUGACUAAGAAGCACCGGCUAAAUACGUGCCAGCAGCCGCGGUAAUACGUAUGGUGCAAGCGUUAUCCGGAUUUACUGGGUGUAAAGGGAGCGUAGACGGCAAAGCAAGUCUGAUGUGAAAGCUAUGGGCUCAACCCAUAAACUGCAUUGGAAACUGUUUAGCUAGAGUGUCGGAGAGGUAAGUGGAAUUCCUAGUGUAGCGGUGAAAUGCGUAGAUAUUAGGAGGAACACCAGUGGCGAAGGCGGCUUACUGGACGAUAACUGACGUUGAGGCUCGAAAGCGUGGGGAGCAAACAGGAUUAGAUACCCUGGUA